UUUUUCUGCCUUUUCGUUUUUCUGUUCUUGAUCGAUUUUGUCAUCAUCAAUUUCCAGUUUGCCCCUUUUUCUUCCACAGAUUGACUGAUUUCUUCUCAGAUUGGGCCUGACACUGUUAUUAUCCAACAAAUACAUUUACUGGUUAAGAUCAAGGGUUCUUAUGACCUGCUAACUGUUCUUCAUUUAGGUAACAAAUCAUAUCAUUGGGGUUUACCGUAUCUUUACGAUUCUUUCAGUCGAAAUACGAAUGUACUUUGUUUUUUAUAUCGGAAACUUGCUGCUCAAUUCCGACAAGAAACUGUGUUUCCCUGAGGUACCCGUUCAUCUCUUUCACGGUGUUAAAUGGUGCCUCAAAAUCUUGGUCUUAUCCUUAUGCAGCUAGGGAUGGAUGGUCCUAACUAUUAUUCUAUCUCUACAGCACAAGCAACUUCUGUAUAUUAAAUGCAGCAAAUCACAUCAUCAGAGGUGAAACCAUUUAUUGAAACUAGAAGGUCUCUUGGAGCCUGUACAGGUGGUUGGUGACACACAUGUGGGAGACACUGGUGGCUACACCAACGAUGGUGACAGCAACUACAUCAGUAGAGGUGGAUUCGGGAAAGUUUACAAAGGAGAGCACAUCUAUUCCGGAGCCCAUGUUAUAGUUGCUGUCAAACGCUUAGAUUCGACACUUGGACAAGGGAUCCCAGAGUUUUGGAAAGAGAUCAUGAUGCUUUUCCGUUACAAACAUGAACAUCUUGUCUCUCUGUUGGGCUUUUCUGAUGAAGGUGGUGAGAAUAUUCUUGUAUAUAAAUAUCUAACAAAAGUCUCGACAUGUAUCUCAGUAGCACCAGUCUCUCCUGGAUCCAACGUCUUAACAGUUAACAUAUGCAUCGGAGCAGCUCGUGGCCUAGUAUCUUCACAAUCCUGGCACGAAUGGGUAUUGUGAUCCACUUUAUGUGGAUACAGGAUUCUUGACAAAAAAUUUGAUAUAUAUAUACUCUUUUGGGGUAGUAUUAUUCGAAGUUUUGUGCGGAAGGCUUUGCUUUAUGAAUUACAAUGAUAGUGGUCGAUUUCUAUCGAAGUUGGCACAAAGGUGCUACGAAGAACAGAAAGUAGAUACAAUUGUCCAUACUUGUCUACACGAGCAAAUAUUGUCAUGAAAAUGUCCGGAUAAGUUCUCAACAAUCGCAUAUCAAUGUUUACAAAGAGAUCGC